GAUGAACGCUAGCGGCAGGCUUAAUACAUGCAAGUCGUGGGGCAGCAUGAGUGUAGCAAUACAUUUGAUGGCGACCGGCAAACGGGUGCGGAACACGUACACAACCUUCCUUCAAGUGGGGAAUAGCCCAGGGAAACUUGGAUUAAUACCCCGUAAUAUUAUGGAGUGGCAUCACUUUAUAAUUAUAGCUCCGGCGCUUGAUGAUGGGUGUGCGCCUGANAGGUAGUUGGCGGGGUAACGGCCCACCAAGCCUUCGAUCAGUAACUGGUGUGAGAGCACGACCAGUCACACGGGCACUGAGACACGGGCCCGACUCCUACGGGAGGCAGC
rnacentral:rRNA from 1 species